UUGCUGAUUCGCUGACGAGUGGCGGACGGGUGAGUAAUGUCUGGGAAACUGCCUGAUGGAGGGGGAUAACUACUGGAAACGGUAGCUAAUACCGCAUAAUGUCGCAAGACCAAAAAGGGGGACCUUCAGGCCUCUUGCCAUCAGAUGUGCCCAGAUGGGAUUAGCUUGUUGGUGGGGUAACGGCUCACCAAGGCGACGAUCCCUAGCUGGUCUGAGAGGAUGACCAGCCACACUGGAACUGAGACACGGUCCAGA
rnacentral:rRNA from 1 species